rnacentral:snoRNA from 1 species
AUCCUGUGGUGAGGGCAUCUAUAAAGUAACUUCUUGAAUCUUUCUCAUGCCUCGUAUAAGGAUUCAUUAUCCAAUUGUUGAAAAGUGGUGAUCUCAUUCCACAACU